rnacentral:rRNA from 1 species
GACGAACGCUGGCGGCGUGCCUAAUACAUGCAAGUCGAACGCAUUUUCUUUCACCGUAGCUUGCUACACCGAAAGAAAAUGAGUGGCGAACGGGUGAGUAACACGUGGGUAACCUGCCCAUCAGCGGGGGAUAACACUUGGAAACAGGUGCUAAUACCGCCUAAUUCCAUUUACCGCAUGGUAGAUGGGUGAACGGCGCUUUUUCGUCACUGAUGGAUGGACCUGCGGUGCAUUAGCUAGUUGGGGGGGUGACGGCCUACCAAGGCUGCGAUGCAUAGCCGACCUGGGAGGGAGAUCGGCCACACUUGGAAUGAGAACACGCCCCAGCCUCUACGGGGAGCAGCAGGAGGGGAACUUUGGCAAAGGACGCAAGGCCUACCGAGCAACGCCGCGGGAGUGAAGAAGGGUUUCGGGUCGGAAAACUCCGUUGUUAGGGAAGAAAAAGGAUGAGAGUGGAAAGUUCAUCCCUUGACGGUACCUAACCAGAAAGCCACGGCUAACUACGUG